rnacentral:rRNA from 1 species
GACGAACGCUGGCGGCGUGCUUAACACAUGCAAGUCGAGCGGUAAGGCCCUUUCGGGGUACGACGAGCGGCGAACGGGUGAGUAACACGUGGGUGACCUGCCCUCCAGCUCUGGGAUAAGCCUGGGAAACCGGGUCUAAUACUGGAUAUGACUCCAUGACGCAUGUUGUGGGGUGGAAAGCCUUGUGCGGCUGAGGAUGGGCCCGCGGCCUAUCAGCUUGUUGGUGGGGUGAUGGCCUACCAAGGCGACGACGGGUAGCCGG